rnacentral:rRNA from 1 species
AGUGAACGCUGGCGGCAGGCCUAACACAUGCAAGUCGAACGGCAGCACAGAGGAGCUUGCUCCUUGGGUGGCGAGUGGCGGACGGGUGAGGAAUACGUCGGAAUCUGCCUAUUUGUGGGGGAUAACGUAGGGAAACUUACGCUAAUACCGCAUACGACCUUAGGGUGAAAGCGGAGGACCUUCGGGCUUCGCGCAGAUAGAUGAGCCGACGUCGGAUUAGC